rnacentral:lncRNA from 1 species
UAUUAUAUACAACUAAAACAAUCAAAUGGACCAAUAGUUGUAAUAGGACCAAAAUAGUUUUAAUAGAGAUUAAAAUGUAUGUUUAUAUGUGAUGAGACCUAAAACCCUCAACCAAACCAUUAUUAAGUUGAUAAGCGUGAGAGUGCUUAGAACACUCUUUCGUAGGCCUUCCACCGUGGUGGGUUCCAAUCGUUUAUGACUUGUACACCGGCUUCACCCUAUCAUGGGGGAGUACAAAGUGCAUGCUUAUACUCAGGAGGAAUCCAUAAACAUAUGAUGAGGUUAGUGUAGGCAACGAGGAUGGCCAAUAUCAUAUCAUUGUGAGGCUAUUCUUGAACCCCUUCACGAACUAAGCAUGGUGGGAAUGACUUAACUAAGUGCAAUGGAGCCAAUAUCAUAUCAUUGUGAGGUAACAUUCUCUAGAGGCCAAAUAAGAUGGGUACUUGCAUUAGUUGCAAAUGAGUAAGCGUACUCUCUCAUUAUUAUUAAUGCCAGCCAAUAUCAUAUCAUUGUGAGGUGGGCUUGGUAAUAGUGAGCCUCCCAUACCCUACUAGGAGUUUCAUCCAAAACUCUCGAAUUCCAAUGAGGGAUAUGGAAUUUGCCAAAAAUAGUGGGUGAUGGUAUUUGAUUUAAAGACCCGAAUCAAAUGGCUUAAAAUCAAUCAAUUUAUAUUCGUUAUGUAUUUGUUUACCAAUAUAUUUGCAAACGCUAUCCAAAACUUGACAAAGAAAAGUCGAAUGCUUUAGUUUCCGGACUUGGUAACACAAUCCUAAAGAUUGUCUUAAAUGGAUUGUAUAUGUACCUAAGUAGUCUCAUCCUCCAAAUCGUUCUAUUGGUAAUGUAUCAUUGAAAGAACAUGUUAGAUAAGUCUAUCAUGAAGAGGACAACACAAACAAUCAAUGCUUAAUCCUUUGUUAAAUGAACAAAGGAACUUACGAAGAUUAGCAUAAUGACAAGGACACUUUUAGUGUUAUUAGUUCUUCACUUACAAAUCGUUGUAUGAAGAAAUAAUAGUUGCUUUGAACAACCCUUAGCCAAUGCAAACACUAGUGCUUGUUUCUUUGUUAAAUGAACAAAGAACUUGAGAAGAAAGCACAAAGGCAUGGACACUUCAUGUGCCAUGAUUCUUCACUUACAAAUUGUUGUAUGACGAAAUGAGAGUUGCCUUGUACAACUCUUGAAGGUUUGUAAUUAUGUUUAGAACAUAAUGGUUGGUUGACAAAAAUAGUGCAUCAACAUGGACUUAUGAUGAUUUUGAAUCAUUGAGUGUUGAAGUGUUAGAACACUUCUAGAGACGGGAACUA